rnacentral:lncRNA from 1 species
GGGUCCACGCCAGGGGUGGGAGGACACUUCGGGCCCAGCGUAGAGGAGGCCUCAAACACGAAAAGCCAGAAAGCGCUGCAGAGCCGUGGAAGGUGCGCCCCGCUUCCGCUCCCCAUGCUGGUCCUCUGGGAACGGGGAUGUGAUCAUAAUUAUGCCGCCGCGCGAGCCAAUGGGGACGAGGGAACUCGGUCCUAAAAUCAUCCCAAAACCGAAGGCGAGCUCGAAAAUGCGGACACGGCCUGGGACCGGAGA